UACGGAGGGUGCGAGCGUUGCUCGGAAUUAUUGGGCGUAAAGCGUACGCAGGCGGCUCGGUAAGUCGAGUGUGAAAUCCCGAGGCUCAACCUCGGACGUGACAUUCGAUACUGUCGAGCUUGAAUGCGGGAGAGGGAAGCGGAAUUCCUGGUGUAGCGGUGAAAUGCGCAGAUAUCAGGAAGAACACCCGUGGCGAAGGCGGCUCUCUGGGACGGUACUGACGCUGAGACGCGAAAGCGUGGGGAGCGAACAGG
rnacentral:rRNA from 1 species